rnacentral:miRNA from 1 species
AUUUGGUUAAUAGAGAGAGAGAGAGAGAGAGAGAGAGAGAGAGAGAGAGAGAGAGAGAGAGAGAGAGAUAACUUUGAUGAUUAUGGUCCCCUGUUUUGGCCCUCUCUCUCUUCCACUUCUCUUCUUCUUUCUCUCUCUUAUCCCCCUUUCUCU